UACGUAGGUGGCGAGCGUUGUCCGGAAUGACUGGGCGUAAAGGGAGCGUAGGUUGCGAUUUAAGUUAGGUGUGAAAGCCCAAGGCUCAACCUUGGAACUGCACUUAAAACUGGGUUGCUAGAGUACAGGAGGGGUAAGCGGAAUUCCUAGUGUAGCGGUGGAAUGCGUAGAUAUUAGGAAGAACACCAGAGGCGAAGGCGGCUUACUGGACUGCAACUGACACUGAGGCUCGAAAGCGUGGGGAGCAAACAGG
rnacentral:rRNA from 1 species